rnacentral:rRNA from 1 species
UUGACCUCGGAUCAGGUAGGGAUACCCGCUGAACUUAAGCAUAUCAAUAAGCGGAGGAAAAGAAACCAACAGGGAAANGGC